GAACGAACGCUGGCGGCGCGUCUUAAGCAUGCAAGUCGAACGGCAAGAGGUAGCAAUACCUCCUAGAGUGGCGGACUGGUGAGUAACACGUGGGUGACAUACCCUUCAGAUGGGGAUAGCUAUUAGAAAUAGUAGAUAAUACCGAAUACGAGCACAGGGGUUAGAGAUCUGUGAGGAAAGGAGCUAAGGCUCCGCUGAAGGAAUGGCCUGCGGCCCAUUAGCUAGUUGGUGAGGUAAGAGCCCACCAAGGCGAUGAUGGGUAUCCGGCCUUAGAGGGUGAACGGACACAUUGGGACUGAGAUACGGCCCAGACUCCUACGGGAGGCAGCAGCUAAGAAUAUUCCGCAAUGGACGAAAGUCUGACGGAGCGACGCCGCGUGGAUGAAGAAGGCCGGAAGGUUGUAAAAUCCUUUUGAAACUGAAGAAUAAGCGUUGUAGGGAAUGACAGCGUGGUGACAGUAGGUUUUGAAUAAGCAACGGCUAAUUACGUGCCAGCCGCUGC
rnacentral:rRNA from 1 species